UACGUAGGGUGCAAGCGUUAAUCGGAAUUACUGGGCGUAAAGCGUGCGCAGGCGGUUUUGUAAGUCAGAUGUGAAAUCCCCGGGCUCAACCUGGGCACGGCAUUUGAGACUGCAAGGCUAGAGUGUGUCAGAGGGGGGUAGAAUUCCACGUGUAGCAGUGAAAUGCGUAGAGAUGUGGAGGAAUACCGAUGGCGAAGGCAGCCCCCUGGGAUAACACUGACGCUCAUGCACGAAAGCGUGGGGAGCAAACAGG
rnacentral:rRNA from 1 species